AGAUGGUAUGUACUUCAGGAGGUGAGCUGUAGAUUAAGAGAUGGGAUAUAGUUGAAGAUAUGGGAUGUAGAUGGAGAGAUGGUAUGUACUUAAGGAGGUGAGCUGUAGAUGAAGAGAUGGGAUGUAGUUGAGAAGAUUAGCUGUAGGUGAAGAGAUGGGAUGUAGGUGGGGAGAUGGUAUGUACUUCAGGAGGUGAGCUGUAGAUUAAGAGAUGGGAUAUAGUUGAAGAUAUGGGAUGUAGAUGGAGAGAUGGUAUGUACUUAAGGAGGUGAG